ensembl:snoRNA
GGUGAGGUCUAUCCCGAUGGAGUAUCUGUAUCUAUGGCAACACAUCGUUGGAAACACCUCACAGAAUAAAUAUGUGGUGCGCUUUACUCACAGGACUAUUCUCUAUGUCUGUGGGAAGUAACUGCAAGACACAG